AUUGAACGCUGGCGGCAGGCCUAACACAUGCAAGUCGAGCGGAUGAAGAGAGCUUGCUCCUGGAUUCAGCGGCGGACGGGUGAGUAAUGCCUAGGAAUCUGCCUGGUAGUGGGGGAUAACGUCCGGAAACGGGCGCUAAUACCGCAUACGUCCUGAGAGAGAAAGUGGGGGAUCUUCGGACCUCACGCUAUCAGAUGAGCCUAGGUCGGAUUAGCUAGUUGGUGGGGUAAAGGCCUACCAAGGCGACGAUCCGUAACUGGUCUGAGAGGAUGAUCAGUCACACUGGAACUGAGACACGGUCCAGACUCCUACGGGAGGCAGCAGUGGGGAAUAUUGGACAAUGGGCGAAAGCCUGAUCCAGCCAUGCCGCGUGUGUGAAGAAGGUCUUCGGAUUGUAAAGCACUUUAAGUUGGGAGGAAGGGCAGUAAGUUAAUGCCUUGCUGUUUUGACGUUACCAACAGAAUAAGCACCGGCUAACUUCGUG
rnacentral:rRNA from 1 species